rnacentral:rRNA from 1 species
UAGCUAGUUGGUGGGGUAAGGGCCUACCAAGGCGACGAUCGGUAGCUGGUCUGAGAGGAUGACCAGCCACACUGGAACUGAGACACGGUCCAGACUCCUACGGGAGGCAGCAGUGGGGAAUAUUGGACAAUGGGGGGAACCCUGAUCCAGCAAUGCCGCGUGUGUGAAGAAGGCCUGAGGGUUGUAAAGCACUUUCAGUGGGGGGAGUAUGCUUAGGUUAAGAGCUAGAGUAUAGGACGUUACCCACAGAAGAAGCACCGGCUAACUCCGUGCCAGUAGCCGCGGUAAUACGGAGGGUGCGAGCGUUAAUCGGAAUUACUGGGCGUAAAGGGUGCGUAGGUUGUUUGGUAAGUUAUCUGUGAAAUCCCUGGGCUUAAUCUGGGCAGGUCAGAUAAAACUGCUGAACUCGAGUAUAGGAGAGGGUAGUGGAAUUUCCGGUGUAGCGGUGAAAUGCGUAGAGAUCGGAAGGAACACCAGUGGCGAAGGCGGCUACCUGGCCUAAUACUGACACUGAGGCACGAAAGCGUGGGGAGCAAACAGGAUUAGAUACCCUGGUAGUCCACGCUGUAAACGAUGUCAACUAGCUGUUGGGUAUAUGAAUAUAUUUAGUGGCGC